rnacentral:rRNA from 1 species
GAUGAACGCUAGCGGCAGGCCUAACACAUGCAAGUCGAGGGGUAACAGAGAUAGCUUGCUAUUUGCUGACGACCGGCGCACGGGUGCGUAACGCGUAUAGAACCUACCUUUUACAGGGGAAUAGCCCAGAGAAAUUUGGAUUAAUGCCCCAUAGUAUUUUGAGAUGGCAUCAUUUUAAGAUUAAACAUUUAUGGGUAAAAGAUGGCUAUGCGUCUUAUUAGUUAGAUGGUGAGGUAAUGGCUCACCAUGACUACGAUAAGUAGGGGUCCUGAGAGGGAGAUCCCCCACACUGGUACUGAGACACGGACCAG